rnacentral:rRNA from 1 species
AGAGUUUGAUCAUGGCUCAGAUUGAACGUUGGCGGCAGGCCUAACACAUGCAAGUCGAACGGUAACAGGAAACAGCUUGCUGUUUCGCUGACGAGUGGCGGACGGGUGAGUAAUGUCUGGGAAACUGCCUGAUGGAGGGGGAUAACUACUGGAAACGGUAGCUAAUACCGCAUAACGUCGCAAGACCAAAGAGGGGGACCUUCGGGCCUCUUGCCAUCGGAUGUGCCCAGAUGGGAUUAGCUAGUAGGUGGGGUAACGGCUCACCAUGGCGACGAUUGGUAGCCGG